CUACGGGGGGCUGCAGUGGGGAAUAUUGGACAAUGGGGGAAACCCUGAUCCAGCAAUGCCGCGUGUGUGAAGAAGGCCUGCGGGUUGUAAAGCACUUUCGGUUGGGAGGACUGCUUCUAGCACUAAUAUUGUUGGAAGUUGACGUUACCUUCAGAAGAAGCACCGGCUAACUCCGUGCCAGCAGCCGCGGUAAUACGGAGGUGUGCAAGCGUUAAUCGGAAUUACUGGGCGUAAAGCGCGCGUAGGCGGCUAGAUCAGUCGGGUGUGAAAGCACCGGGCUUAACCUGGGAACUGCAUCCGAUACUGUCUAGCUAGAGUACAGGAGAGGAGAGUGGAAUUCCACAUGUAGCGGUGAAAUGCGUAGAUAUGUGGAGGAACACCAAUGGCGAAGGCAGCUCUCUGGCCUGAUACUGACGCUGAGGUGCGAAAGCGUGGGGAGCAAACAGGAUUAGAUACCCCGGUAGUC
rnacentral:rRNA from 1 species